AAUAGCCCAGGGAAACUUGGUGUAAUACCGUAUACGCCCUUCGGGGGAAAGAUUAUAUCGCUAUUGGAGUAGCCCGCGUUAGAUUAGAUAGUUGGUGGGGUAAUGGCCUACCAAGUCGACGAUCUAUAGCUGGUUUGAGAGGAUGAUCAGCCACACUGGGACUGAGACACGGCCCAGACUCCUACGGGAGGCUGCAGUGAGGAAUAUUGGACAAUGGGGGCAACCCUGAUCCAGCCAUGCCGCGUGAAUGAAGAAGGCCCUAGGGUUGUAAAGUUCUUUUAUCGGUGAAGAUAAUGACGGUAGCCGAAGAAAAAGCCCCGGCUAACUCCGUGCCAGCAGCCGCGGUAAUACGGAGGGGGCAAGCGUUGUUCGGAAUUACUGGGCGUAAAGAGUACGUAGGCGGAUCGUUAAGUUAGAGGUGAAAUCCCAGGGCUCAACCCUGGAACUGCCUUUAAUACUGGCGAUCUAGAGAU
rnacentral:rRNA from 1 species